rnacentral:rRNA from 1 species
GCAUAUCAAUAAGCGGAGGAAAAGAAACUAACAAGGAUUCCCCUAGUAACGGCGAGUGAAGCGGGAUGAGCUCAAAUUUAAAAUCUGAUAGUCUUUGGGCUGUCCGAGUUGUAAUCUAGAGAAGUGUUUUCCGCGUUGGACCAUGUACAAGUUUCCUGGAACGGAACGUCAUAGAGGGUGAGAAUCCCGUCCUUGACAUGGACUACCAGUACUUUGUGAUACACCCUCAACGAGUCGAGUUGUUUGGGAUUGCAGCUCAAAAUGGGAGGUAAAUUCCUUCUAAAGCUAAAUAUUGGCGAGAGACCGAUAGCGAACAAGUACCGUGAGGGAAAGAUGAAAAGCACUUUGGAAAGAGAGUUAAACAGUACGUGAAAUUGUUAAAAGGGAAACGAUUGAAGUCAGUCGCGUUUGCUUGGACUCAGCCUUACCUCGGUUUGGUGCAUUUCCUUGUGAACGGGCCAGCGUCAAUGUUGUUCGUUGGAAAAGGGUUAGAGAAAUGUGGCUCUUUCGGGAGUGCUAUAGUCUCUGAUCGUAUACAACGGCUGAUAUUGAGUGGUCAGCACGUCUUGCGGUGCUUGUGCUGG